GAAUAUUACUAAUUUUGCGAUGCUCUUUCAUGCUAUGAUGGAAUUUUGUCUAGACUUGUUGAGAUCAAAAGUUUGGUUAAUGGUCCUUUCCCCUUAUAACUAAAAUUUCGAUCUAGAGAAAAAUUUCAUCACAGCUUGAAAGAGCAUAACAAAAUUAGUAAUAUUC